CAAUCACAGGCCCUUGUAUCUUAUUUUUUUUUAACCUUUGUGCCUUAAAAUAUCUAGUUAUGAAUGGGGGGUCAGGAUUCCAAUGUACAAAUGAUUUAGGAAGUGCAAAUAAAAUAACACUGAUAAUAUGGUUCUUGUCCUUUCUUGAUUAAAUAUGUACAUGAUUUAUUUGAGAUAAAGAAAUAUACAAACAAGCCAGGUACCUCUGGCCUUUCUCUGUUUUGUUCAGAUGUAAGUUUUAAGAGUUAAGUGUGUUAUCAAUUUUCUCUGAACAAGUACACAUUUUUGUUUAGGGGCCCAAGCUGAAUAUAUUUUUUUCUUUUUCCAUAUAGUGUUUUGUUUAGUGUGUGUAAAUGCCAUGGUGCCCAUCAAGUAUUUUUUUUUAGUAAGGUCUGAAAUUUGGAUAGGAAAGAAUAUCGGAGAAUGUGUAAAAUUUACAGAAAAAUGGACCAAAAAAAAAAGAUUAAAAAAAGAACUGAGGACACUGGUGUUCAAAUAUAAAGAAAAGGAGAAAAGAGCAAAAAAUACUAAAGAAUAGAGAAAUAUUACCUUAAAAAUUAAAGAAUACAGAAGGAUAAUACCUAAUAUCGAGAUCAUCUUUUAUUCUUAUUCGAUAUCUUUGUAAUAAUUUCAUAAAAUAAGUAUACCUAUUUUUCUAACCACGUG
rnacentral:lncRNA from 1 species